GCCUGGCUGGCUCAGUCGGUUAAGCAUCUGACUUCAGCUCAGGUCACGAUCUCUGGGUUCAUGGGUUCGAGCCCCGCAUCGGGCU
rnacentral:tRNA from 1 species